UGAAGUGAAUGCGGAGGAUGAAGAAACUACAGUUG
rnacentral:sRNA from 1 species